GUCUGCAACUCGACUCCAUGAAGUCGGAAUCGCUAGUAAUUCCAGAUCAGCAUGCUGGGGUGAAUGCGUUCCCGGGCCUUGUACACACCGCCCGUCACACCACGAAAGUUGGUUUUACCCGAAGCCGAUGAGCUAACAGCAAUGAGGCAAUCGUCUACGGUAGGCCCGAUGAUUGGGGUGAAGUCGUAACAAGGUAGC
rnacentral:rRNA from 1 species